AGACAAGGACGUGAUUUUAGGAACACCCUCUUUAAUUGGUUUAAUUAAAAUUAAAAAAUGACUUGCAGCCCAUACGCGCCUUUUCAUCUCCUAAUCCCUCCUUCAUUCGCUAAUCACUGUCGUGUUGACGGAAGCUCCGCCGAUGCCAUCUCCACUCCUGUGUUGACCCCAACUCCAGCCGUCGUGCCAUCUCUGUAGCUCCCACCAUAUCUCGAGUGACCGAAGCUCAGAUCGCUAGCUGUACCCAGGCUGCGAUAUCUUCCUGGUGCUAUUGUAGCUGCGAUAUCUUCAAUUCAGCAUUUAUAGUCAUUUUCUAUAAAUGACUAUAAAUGGUAGGAAUUUUCUUGGACUGAUCCAACUUUUUUAAUAAGUGGCAAGAAUGGGUAUGAUUUCAAAUCUGUGAGGAGAUGGACCAGCCAAAACAAAUAGGGAUAUGGCCUACAUGAAUGUGAUAAAAUAUUUGUACCUAUCCAUAAAGAGAUUCAUUGGUGCUUGGCUGUUAUCAAUAACAAAGAUAAGAAAUUUCAGUAUCUGGACUCACUGAGAGGAUAUUUGAAGUUUUCUAUCUGAAAAUUAGGAAUUUGGUUGUUUAGUUUUGUGUCUGAAAGGAUAUUUGAAGUUUUCCUGAGCAUCAUAGGUUUGGUAUGAAUGAACUCUUUUGAAUUGUGCAGCUUUUUGCCAGUAUAGUUCCUAGGACAGCAGAGAAUUUUUGGGCACUCUGUACAAGUAUCUUUAAAUUGUUCAAAUAACCGUCUUUUACCAUUUUUUAAAAAUAUUUUUGUAAUGUGAGACUGAAGCAUGCAUAUGUAUAUUGGGUAAUGUGAGACUGGAGUUUCUUGUUGACCAACAAGAAUGUUUGGUCCAACAGUAAGGUACACACUAGUUUUAUUGUGCGUGUGCGUGUGUUUGGAUCAAUUUGCCUAUGCUGCUCAACUAAUUAUGAGCAAAGUUCCUUCAUUGCCUUUUUUGUAAUAGUUUAUGCUUGGUGUGCUGUGUUGGUCUUUUUUUUAGCUUGCCUCGCAUUUUGGUGAUUGAAUUGGUCUUUUGAUUGUAUUGCCAGGGUCAUGAGAAUGUGGUUGAAGAUGUGCCAUGGAAUUUGAAGGAUGAGAAUAUGUUUGGGUCUAGUGAAGAUGACUGCAAAUUGAUCAUUUGGGACUUGCGGACGAACAAAGCCCAACAAUCAGUCAAACCACAUGAAAAGGAGGGUUGUUUAUAAAUUGUGAAACAGGCAGAGCUAGCUAGUCAAUUAUCUUAUUCAAUAUUUCUGCACAACCCUUUUUUUGGUGAAUUAUUCUGCACCUACACCCCUUGGUGAAGAAUUAUAAUUAAGUUUGCAGGCCUUCUAAUUAACAUGGAGCCACAGUUUGCAAUCAAGAAAGAUGCCACUGAAGUAAUAUAUUUUGUCAUAAUAACAUUUUAUUUUGCUGAAAAAUUCAAAAAGGAAAUAUACGGACAAUUGUUAGUGCUAGUUGCUUAAUUUAUUAUUAUAAGUAGUAGAAAUACAAUCGGUGCUCACUUCUCUCACUCAA